ACCUCAAGUUAUCUGCCUGCCUCGGCCUCCCAAACUGUUGGAAUUACAGGCGUGAACCACCAUGCCUGGCCAGCUCUAUUUCUUUAAGCCUACAUGUUUUGCACUUGUUAAAAGUAUUUGAACAUACAAUUACUCAGCUUCCCUUGUUUACGCGUGAAUUUUGUAGAAUCUUAAAUAUUUUUUCCAAUCUAAGCUUUAUUUUAUCCCGUUUCUUCUAUAUUUGUAUAACUUUAGGCGGCUAUCUUCAUUGAAAGUUUUUUCUCAAAAGCCUUAAGAUAGAACGUAGUUCUUGGCAGCAAUUUGAAAGUUAUUUGAGGAGAAGGGGAGACUUACAAUGAUGAUUCAAAUGAAGGAAACUAAAAAGUAAUGAAGCAAGGCAGAGGAAAAAGCAGUACUCACUUGAGCACAUCCCAAAAGAAAAACAUUUCAAAUGUAACUAGAAAAAAAUAUGCUGAAGUUCGCAAUACAGAAAUAAUUAUUAAUAAGAUAGCUUUAAAGCCCUGCUCAGCUUUUGAAUGUUGGGAAUUGACCCAGAGGUGGCUGUAACCUAAGAUGGUUCCUUCAGUAAUGACCAUUUUUUCUUUUUCAAGAUGAUGAUUAUUCCCCACCUUCUAAGAGACAAAGACCAACGAGCCACCACAGCCACCAGUCCCAGAACCCGCCAAUGCUGGGGAACGGAAAAUGAGGGAGUUCAACUCUGGCCCUCACAAUCCAGUGGAGGAGACGAAACUCAUCUGCCUCUGUCCCUCUGGGCACGCCUCAUGCCAGGUGCAUCUGUGGACAGGGGCCAUGCUCCUGGGCUUCCAAAGUUGGAGAAAGCUGCCAGGCUCAGAGCCACCUAAGCUGAAGAUUCCCUUGAGAACAAGUACUGUCCCUAGUUUCCCAGUGCUGGAAUAUAGAAAAUGGAUGGACAAGUAAAUCCCACUCAGCACCCAUAGUCCAGGCAUGGGGACCUCAACACACCUGAGCCCCAGACAUCACCUUUCAUUCUGGACCUACCAUGAAAGACUUCUGAAUCCAGGAAGAGAAACUGACUGGGCAACAUGUUAUUCAAAAACAGGACCUUGCCCUGUCACUAGGAUGGAGUUCAGUGGUCCUAUCAUGGCUCAUUAUAGCCUCAAACUCCCAGGCUCAAGCAAUCCUACCAUGUCAGCCUUCCCAGUAGCUGGGACUACAGGAAGUGAGCUCACAAUGACUCAAGCUGCCACAUACUGUUGAUUGUGAAAUGCCAGUUGAAGCAUAUGUCCUGCGAGCUUAGGGGUGCUACAAGUUGACCACUGCAGCAGUAAAGAUGACUCUGAAGAAUGGCGUGGGAUGGUUCCUUUCAAAUGCACUUGAGCAGCGGUCUCCAACCACAGGGCCACAGAGCUGGAGCUGGAUCUACCAUGAAAGACUUGUGAAUCCAGGAAGAGAGACUGACUGGGCAACAUGUUAUUCAGGUGGGACCAUCCAGUUGCAGGAAAACAAGCUUAACACGCCCACUGAUUCUACAUUAUGCUCCUACCUCCCGGCAGCCUCUCCAGGCCCAGAACUUUCUCCAGUCAGCCUCUACAGACCAAGCUCAUGACUCUCAAUGGCCUAUUUAGGCCCAUACCCUACGUCACGGCAGCCUCCGCAGAUGAGGCUACUGCCUCACAACAGCCUCCACGGGCACAGCUCCAUCGUUACAAUGGCCUCUUUAGACCCAGCUCCUGCCUCCCAGCCUUCUCUCCAGGCUCUGAACUUUCUCAUUCUGAGACAGGGUCUCCCUCUGUUGUCCAAGGCUGGAG
rnacentral:lncRNA from 1 species